rnacentral:lncRNA from 1 species
ACCAAUAGAAUUCUGAUAGAUUGCUCACACAUGAAUCAUGGAGUGGACCAACUUUACGGAACUUGCUUAGUUCUUGGAUGUGUGGUCAGGUAUUAAGGUUCAAUUCAAUGAUUCAAUGCAUGGAGCUCUCCAGACGUGCACCAUCCCAUCCCGUUUCUUAUUGGCAUCUGUGACUGAGUGUGAAAGAGCUCACUGCUGAGGCCAUUACAAGGACAAAGGUGCUUAUUUUGAAAGUUGCUUGUUUUUGUGGUACCUCCGAGGGGGCGUGGAUUCAAUUUCUUACAGCAGAAACUUUGUGAUUUAUGAUAAAAGCACAUUACAAGGCCUUUUGUCUCCCAACAUACACAUGAGGUGCUGCCUCUAUUGGGCCUGAUUUUCAAAAUAUAUUUCCUAUGUAAACAUUUUGACCAGACUCAGGAUAAGUAAUAGAUAUAUAAACACAGAUUUCGUAGGGGUCCAUAGCUGCUUUUGUGACCAACCAUCUCAUUGUCUAAGACACCAGCAAAAUCACCUACUGGGUUGUUACAGAUGUUCUGGUUUCCAGUUAGAAAUCACUUGCAGUGAAUGUGGGGGUAGAGGACUCUUCUGUUACCCUUGACAGGUGCCUGUUUUGUUACAACUCUAGAGUCAUGCACAGUCAGGGCUGUGGCGUAUCUCCCUUCUCUGAUGACCACAGUCUCUGUUCCCAAGCUCUGAUGUCUAUGAAAGAGGCAGAAUAGCAUGUCUGUAGGCCUCAGGGGCCCACUUCCAACUGCAUCACCAGUGUUCCCGACUCAGGAGGGCUUUGGUGCCUGUGCCUCCCUUCCCUUGUUGGUGAGGGCCGUCUGUCAGCAUAAGGAUCUAGUUGUUCUUACAGAAAAUGCACAUCAGGAGCCCUUAAUUCUAAGAUUAAAAGUCCUGGAAGUAGUCCUUGCUACAUAGUAUGCAUCUCUCCAUUUUCUUCUAGUAUUACAGCUCUAUGGUUAAGGCCAUACCUCUUAACUUUUGCUUUAAGUAAAGCAAAGGUUAUUUUCCCUUUAAAGGAUUAACAUUCUCAUUUCCAGAAGAAAGAGUACUUUGCUACAAAACAACAGCUUCUGUUUUAGCUAAGUCCUAUUGCUUGAGUCCAUUUGUUCAUGUUGCAAUAGCCAGGAUAUCUGUCCUCUUUGAACACAUAGUAGUGUAAUCACCUUUGAUUUUUCAUUAACCUCACCUCUACUUCUGACUGAAAAGAAAUGAGCUGUUCAACUCUGCAGUUUGGGGAGAAAAUGCAAAUUUGCUUAUUCAUGCUUCUGUCGUUCUAUGAAAAAAAAAAUGCAUUCAAAAGAGGUAUGGAGAAGUUGAGAGUUCUGAAUGGUUUCUUUUGUGCCUGGAGCUAGGUAACCCUUCAUCUAUUUCACCUCACGCUGUGCCAAUUUGUUAUUGUUGUGAACAAACUGAGCCAGUGUGGAUACCAUGCUCUCUAUGGCUAUUUUCCCCUCGGCUCCUUAAAAGGCUUCAAUAUUGAGACAUUUCACUCAAAGGAGGAAGGUGGUGGUUUUUUUCCAGGUGACCCAUUUAGUGUGGGGUUGAUUCUCACCUCCCCCAGUUGUUGUUGCUUUCCUGCAAGAUAACUGUACUUUCCAGCACUGCAGUAAACAAGUCUUGGUGUUUGACAGGAAUCAUUCAUUCCCUUUGCUCAAGAGCCCCUCUUGGAUCCGUCUCCAGGCUCUUCAGUCUUCUUGUUUCAAAAGAAAAAGAUUUAGGAAGACACUGUCUUUCUUCAUCUUCACAUGCCCCUCUGUUUCUUUGUGGAAGGACAGAUCAGAAGAUGGCAACAGACCAAUGGCUGUGAACAACAAGCAUUUUAAAGGAGCCAUGGGCUUUGAUUUCAGAAACCCUAGCUCUGGUCUAGGAUAGCGCUAAGCCCUUUGGAUAGGCAGGGUAGAGAGAAAGAGAGAGAGAGAGACGUGGUCUAGCAUUUUUCUCUUUUGUUUUAUGAGAGGCCAGGAAGAAACUGAUGUGGAGCAGGUCUAGAGAAGUCUUCCGAAGUUUCUCGGGAUCACUAUCCAAAUCGAAAUUCUCAUUAUCCUUUCCUUAGCCUGGCAUGUUGAUUAUCAUGCAGUGCUAUGACGAACUCACUGUUUCUUGGUUACAAGUUAAAGUUAAUAAGUGGUUGGAAUAGUUGGCUUAAUAGAACACUCCCCUUGGGUGCUGGUAGGAUAGUGUGAGGAAUGUGUCUUUCUUGUUUGAAGCUACAUUCGAAAUAUUCGCUGGAGGAUUUUAUUACAAAGGCGUCUUUCCAUUACACAUUUUAGCCUUUUUACUGCCUAGCUAAGCAAAGAUAAGGGUUCUCCUGACAGAAUAAACAAGCACUCUAUGCCUUCGUGUUUUCUCCUGUCAAGUUAUGAGAAUACAAUGGUAGCCUGGCAAUUCAGAAAUGGGUCUUCCAUGGUCAAAGAAGGAAUACACAGGUCAGCUUUCUAGGAAUUUAAGUUCCACCCAGCAGCAAUUAAGAAGACUCCUGAGAAGCCUCAAUAUACUCUGAUGUUGAGUUACAUGACAGAGUCUAUCAAGAAGGGUAAAUACUAACAUGGGUUUGUAGUUUUUACAUACACACAUAUAUACACACACACAUACAUGAUGAACUUUGCAUAAUAUGAUUUGUGAGAAAUGUAAGAUUUUAUAAAUCUGUACAAGAUGCAUAAAGUUGUGUUGAAUGCAAUGAAGACAGGUAGUUUCAAAGUUUAGGAGGGCAUUCUAUUUGAAUUUCUUUGUACUCCCUUUGGAAUGGGCUCAACUGACUUGGAGAAUGGGGACUUACAGUAGUCAACAAACUCUGUUGAAAAAGGUUUUGGACUAGUAAUUGUGGAUAAUGAUUAAUUAUUUACUUAUUUCAUUUUCUAAGGACCAGAUGUUUAAGUGCUUUGUAAUAAACUGCUGUGGUGAUGCUGACAGCUCAUCUCUAUUAAGAGGUGAAAUGGGGUGAUUAUAACCCCUUAAAUCAAUAUUGAGCCUGUUUUUCCUUUGAGGCUCCUGCACUUCUUUUGUUGGGCAAUAUGCUCCCAAGUAUCAGCUCCCAAAGGCUGCAGUCUAGCAGACAGAGUUGGGUUAUAACUCGAUAGUCCAAAUAUGCGACUUAUGAGCUAGCUCAUUUCAUUUUUUUUUUGAUUGCUAUAUUUUCUUCAUAGAAUGGUGCAAAGUAUAAAUGACCAUGUAAUAGUGUAAUUUGCAUAUGUUCAAAAUUACACAGUAUUUUAAACAAUUAAUCCAAUGAAUGAACAUUUGAAGAAAGACAAAUGGCUUGCUGUUUCACAAAGGGAAAGUAUUUCUCUCUGGCCACUUUUUGUCUGAACUUUUAAAUUGAAACUACAGAAACAAAACCUAGAAGUAACGUGUACAGACAGAGAUCCGUUUUGAACAGUAAAUGCUACUGAUGUAUGCACAGACCGUAUUACGUCUUUUAUAGAACAGCAGUAUCAUUCUCAGUCUGGUAAGCAAAAUUCAGUCCGUAUCUGCGCACUUUCUACGGCAGUUGCACAGCAGCUGACCUUCUUACAGUACUUUCUCUUCCUCUUUGUAACAGCUCUUCUCAGAAGACCAGACUCAAAGCUUGGGUCUAGAUCCUGGUAGGACCAAAAAGUCUAUUUGUAAACACUGGAUAAUAAACUUAUGGCUGAUAAUUAUGAGAGUUCUUCUUGUUCAUCCAUCAAUCAAGCACAGUUGUAAAUCCAGGCCAUUGUAGGCAGAAGGUCAGGCUUAGACUAAGGUUGUUUUUAAUUAGGAGAACUUCUGAUUUUAUUAAAUAUACCUUAUUUGCCUCUUGGCUUUCUAUUUUAAUGUCUUUUAUUGUCUCUAGUGAUAGGAUUCUUGAAUUCUAAGUGAUACCUUAGAACUUAUAAGUGAAAAUUAAAUUCGAUUACGAAUAUUUUGAUUGAGAAGGAAAUUUGCAACUAGAAAUCCUAGUGUGUGCCCACAAUGUACGCAAAUUAAGCUUUAGUUUUUUAGGUCUCUCUCAGAUUGUUAAAAUUAUGCAUUCUCAACUACUGACUGUGGAAACAAAAGGAGAGAAAGAACG